GGUAUCAAAAUCUUGGUUGAUAUUGCCAUCAUUCUCAACUUCAUCCAAUCUUCUCAUUUGAUUCCUUGUAAGCUUCGUAUAGCGUGGAAUAAUUGCUUGCACUACAUUUCCCAGAUGCAAUUCCGAUCUUCAUAUAUUUUCUAAAAAGGCGUUUAUUCUCUCCACAAAUAGAAGAAGACCGCUACACAUUGCUGCAAUGCGUCGUACUAGUACUUAUAUAUAUAACUGAAGCAAGAUUCUAGAGAUCUCAGUCUAGCUAUAAAGUAUAUAUACAAGAACCAACCAUAAGAGCUCAGGAAGAUCUAUAAUUAUACAAGUAAUUAAACCCAGUUAAUUAGGGUUUUGGGGCAGAAGAACUGAAGAAGAGUACGUAGACGGUCUCCCUCUCGAUCAGGGGUCAAAGCUAUUGUGCACAGUUCGCCUCCAGGAAGGUAGUGAAUAAUCUUCAGUAGUACUCGACCACAUUGGCGUUGGAGUUGGAGGCAACGUACUAGCAACUAGUCACAGCAGCUGAAACUAUGCACACGUGUUGGUAAGCGGUAAACCAGGAGAUCGAUCAGCUAAUUAAGCUCUAUAUACAUGCAUGGUAUCAUUACAGACAGAGAAAUCGAUGAGACAGGGGAAUUGUACGUACAGUGUCUGCCUGCAGAAAAAUGUAGUAGCACUGUAGCUUCAGGUGUCUCAAGUUGAUAGAGAGAGAGGUGGUCAGGCAGAAUAUCGAUAUCGCAGUCAUAAUCAUCUUAAGCACCACACGCACCGUUUUAUGUCAUUCAUUUCCGGAUCCUUCAGGUUAGCUCUCUUCAAGCAUAUAUAUAGAAUAGUAAAACACGAUACUCUCUCUCUCUCUCUCUCUCAACUGAUAGGUGAAUGUUCCAACUGACAUGGAAAUCUUAAAAGGUCGAAGAAUAUUGUAGGUCUAUUGAUGUGCGUAACACAUGCAUUUGGUUUCUUUUUGUUCUCUCUCUAUAGCUAUAGCUCGAUCAUUAUAGAUAUGUUGUGACGUAAGUUGCACUACUACAAAUUUCCCCAAUAGCACCUUUUUAUUAGCCACCACAAACCAAUCAGUCCCCAAAGUGAACAGUGAUACACUUAUCUGAAAAAUUGGUGUGUAUUUUUUAAUUUUUUUUGCUCUCACUGAUCAUCAGUGGGUAAUAUGAACAGUACAGAUAACAUAUUAUUAGUUUAAUGACAAUAGUGGCUCUAUCAUUGCCGAUCCGUGGGUAUUAUGACCCGUGCAUGCAGAUUAAAGGACAAUAGUGACUUUUAUCGGUGGUAAAUAAAUGCGUUGGGAUUAAAUAUUAAUGGCUUAUUUUGAUUUUGCAAAAACGUGAGUAGAGAGAGAAGUAUAUCUAGAUCUAGAUCUAUCUCUGUCCACUCUUUCUUCUCUGCCUUGUCGCCCUCUAUUUCUUCUCUUCGUCAAUCCUCUCAAUUUUCUUUUCGUCAUCGAGAAUUCGAGAUCGCCAAGCAAUGGAACAAGAUCAUGAAGACCAGAUCAAUGGCUAAGGAAGAGAUUGUCAGCAGUCACCUUUGAAAUUCAAAACAUUGAUUUUGCUUUCUGAAAACCCGAAAGUUCAAAACAUUACUAUGCCGCAGCAGAGAGUCUCGCAUCUCCAA